GCUAUUCGAAUUGUUUCAGUUGUUUCUAUAAACGAAUACACGAGGAAAACGUUCGUACCGCAAUCCCCGAAUACAAAUACAUAUAUUUAAUUAUUGAAAACUUGCGACAUUUUGUACGCAUCGUUAGAUAUUUUAAUAAACUAAUUGCUCUGUUUUGAAAGAUUGAUCCACGAAACAAAAGACGAUGGAUUUCUAUGCUUUACGUCACAAUUCAUUUGCCAUACUUGGGGGACACGUCUGAAUUAGCUAUUACGUGCAAGAGACAUUAUUUCAUGCCUAAUGAUUAUUUAAUCAGUUAAUAACAUAUAUAUAUAUGCAUUACAAGUGCAAGUAUG
rnacentral:misc_RNA from 1 species